rnacentral:hammerhead_ribozyme from 1 species
AUCUGGCUAAGGAGUCCCAAAUGGGAUGGAACGUACGUCCUGGAU